GGGAAAUCCAAACGAAAGAAAACUGGAACUAUCCAAACGCUAACGUCCCCUGCCCCCCUCGUCUCGUCUCCCUCUCCAGGCCCUCGGUGUGCCCCGUGUCCGGGGAGGAGGUGGGCGCUCGAUCUGCAGUCGUGUCGGUGUCAUUGCAACAUCAGCGCUGAGAGCUGCAGCCUGAAAGGGAGGAGACUCAACCAGCACACGUGCAGAUGUGCGGCUAUGCGGCGGUGAGGCUCUUCCUCUCCUUUCCGUCUCGUCACUGGUUCCCAAGUCCUUCCCAGCCAUGCUCACCGCAGUCCUGAGUACCUUCCUGCCAGGUGGUGGGGUGGGAAAUGUGUCCCUUUCUGUGUCCUCCGUGCCCUCAAAAAACACCAAGUCAGUGCAGUAUUUCAGUAGCGUGUAAAUAUAUGUACAGUGUAUGUGCACAAACUCUAUAUCUGUAUUUGUACGUGUUCCCUCAGCUAACGUCGUCAUCAUGCAGCUUCGUAAGGCACCGUCAGCUGCUUUUGUUCAGUCCCCAUUUAUCCGUGUAAUGCUCUCUUAUUAACAAGGUCAAAGGGUGGGACCAAAUGAAAAGCCUGCAGCUUGUAUUGGGGCAGAGUGAGGUAUUGCAGCCCCCCCCCCCCCCCCCCCACCCCCCCCC
ensembl:lncRNA